GGGGAAUAUUGCACAAUGGGCGAAAGCCUGAUGCAGCGACGCCGCGUGAGGGAUGGAGGCCUUCGGGUUGUAUACCUCUUUCGCUCAUGGUCAAGCCGCAACGAUGGUUGUGGUGAGGGUAGUGGGUAAAGAAGCGCCGGCUAACUACGUGCCAGCAGCCGCGGUAAUACGUAGGGCGCGAGCGUUGUCCGGAAUUAUUGGGCGUAAAGGGCUUGUAGGCGGUUGGUCGCGUCUGCCGUGAAAUUCUCUGGCUUAACUGGGGGCGUGCGGUGGGUACGGGCUGACUUGAGUGCGGUAGGGGAGACUGGAACUCCUGGUGUAGCGGUGGAAUGCGCAGAUAUCAGGAAGAACACCGGUGGCGAAGGCGGGUCUCUGGGCCGUUACUGACGCUGAGGAGCGAAAGCGUGGGGAGCGAACAGGAUUAGAUACCCUGGUAGUCCACGCUGUAAACGUUGGGCACUAGGUGUGGGGGCCACCCGUGGUUUCUGCGCCGUAGCUAACGCUUUAAGUGCCCCGCCUGGGGAGUACGGCCGCAAGGCUA
rnacentral:rRNA from 1 species